rnacentral:rRNA from 1 species
GACGAACGCUGGCGGCGUGCUUAACACAUGCAAGUCGAGCGGAAAGGCCCUUUCGGGGGUACUCGAGCGGCGAACGGGGGAGGAACACGUGAGUAAUCUGCCCUUGGCUUUGGGUUAGCCACCGGAAACGGUGAUUAAUACCGGAUACGACCACUUCUCGCAUGGGAUGGGGGUGGGAAGUUUUUCGGCCAGGGAUGUGCUCGCGGCCUAUCAGCUUGAUGGUGAGGUAAUGGCUCACCAUGGCUUCGAGGGGUAGCCGGCCUGAGAGGGUGACCGGUCACACUGGGACUGAGACACGGCCCAGACUCCUACGGGAGGCAGCAGUGGGGAAUAUUGGACAAUGGGCGGAAGCCUGAUCCAGCAACGCCGCGUGAGGGAUGACGGCCUUCGGGUUGUAAACCUCUUUCAGCAGGGACGAAGCGCAAGUGACGGUACCUGCAGAAGAAGCACCGGCCAACUACGUGCCAGCCGCCGCCGUAA